rnacentral:rRNA from 1 species
GACAGAGGGUGCAAACGUUGUUCGGAUUUACUGGGCGUAAAGCGCGUGUAGGCGGCUUUGCAAGUCGGAUGUGAAAUCCCACGGCUCAACCGUGGAAGUGCAUCCGAAACUGCAUCGCUGGAGUCUCGGAGAGGAAGGUGGAAUGCUUGGUGUAGAGGUGAAAUUCGUAGAUAUCAAGCGGAACACCUGCGGCGAAGGCGGCCUUCUGGACGAUGACUGACGCUGAGACGCGAAAGCGUGGGGAGCAAACAGG